UACGUAGGGCGCAAGCGUUGUCCGGAAUUAUUGGGCGUAAAGGGUCCGCAGGUGGCAGUGUAAGUCUGCUGUCAAAGAAUGAGGCUUAACCUCAUCAAGGCAGUGGAAACUACACAGCUAGAGUACGGUCGGGGUAGAAGGAAUUCCUGGUGUAGCGGUGAAAUGCGUAGAGAUCAGGAAGAACACCGGUGGCGAAGGCGGCGACCUGGUCCGAUACUGACGCUGAGGCGCGAAAGCGUGGGGAGCAAACAGG
rnacentral:rRNA from 1 species